rnacentral:misc_RNA from 1 species
CAUGAUCGCUCUCCUCCCUCUUCCCUCCAAAUGCACACCUCGACACUCUCACUGGCACGCGCGCACUAUUUCGCAAAAUAACGCUGACGUUGAUGUCGAAGCGGCAGACACAUUGUUAGUCCUCACGCACCCCCUCCCCCCCCCCCCACACACACACGCCCUUGAACACGUGGCUGUCUGCUGCUGCUGCUUGUGUGAUCAUCGGCGUUCUUCCUCGCCACACUCACAAUGGCGUCAGCAGCCUACUACAAGAAGCAGCAGGCGCAGCUGCAUCUCGCCAAGAGCGAGGUGCAGGCCAUCAUGGAAAAGCUGGUUGCGGCCGUGGCCCAAUCCCGCCCUCGCAGCCCCCUGCGUGCUAUGCUUCAAACGCUAGACCGCAUAGAGGAAGAGGGGAUCGGAUCAGCAUCUGCGGCCGCUAAGAUUGCACCGCCUCUCCUCACUCCGCGCCUCGUCAUUCUCACUGGCCCGCCUGCCUGCGGUAAGUCGGUCCAGGCUUCCCACGUUGCCGCCUUCCUGGGCGGCGUUCACUGCGCCUUGCCGUCGUUGGUGCGAGAUGCGUUUAACGGUGGCCGGCUGCCUGGCUCGAAGGCUGUCUACGUUCCUGAGUCUCUCCAAGCCGAGCUGAGGGCGGCCAAAGAGGCGUUCGCGCGGCAGACGCUGGCGGCAGCGACGACGUCGUCUUUUCUGUCGGCACUGCCACCCGAUCUCGCAGCGCGACUCGUCGUAAAUCGCAUUCAGUACGAGACGGGUCAGCGCCAAGCUGCGGCGGACACCGUGCCAACGCCAGAAAUGCAGCGUCCCACGUCGACGGUGUUCUUCGUGCUGGACGGCUACCCUUCCACCAUCGCUGAAGCGCUGGCUCUCGAGGCGGCGACGGGGCAAGAGAUUUCGGUAGCUGUGACCCUACGCUGCCCCGCCGACUGCCUGCAGGCGCGUCGCCACUCGCCCAUCCCUCCUGCUCGCCUUGCUUCCCUUGGCACUUUCGAGGCGUACUGGAGCGCGCAGCACAAGCUGCGGGUCGUGGACGGCGCUCAGAGCAUCGCUGCCGUCACACGGCAGGUGCUCGCCGCUCUGGGGGAGGAGUAGAAAGCAGUAGCCCUAGGAGGAAGGAGCGCACGCAGCCCCCCCCCCCCCCCCCAUGCACACCUGCCCGCGGAACGCUCACCCUGUCGGUGUUGGCUAUCUUCUUCGCCAAACUGCAAUAAGCACCUCACCACGUGAUGUAUAGUGCACAACCUCUGGUCCCUCCCGCUCUGCACAG